rnacentral:lncRNA from 1 species
UUUUUUUAAAGCUAUUUUUUAGUUGUCAACAGAUAUUUUAUUUUAUUUAUUUAUAUGCGGUGCUGAGAAUUGAACCCAGGGCCUCAUACAUGCCGGGCAAGUGCUCUACCCUUGAGCCAGAGCUCCAGCCUCUCAAAGCUAAUAUUUAAAACACAGAUUUUCAAAGUCUGUCAGUUAAUAUACCUCUCACAAUUUGGGGUUUGCUUAUGAUAACUUUAAGAUUUGCCAUGUCUUUCUUUUUUUGCAUAUAAGAAUCCCUAAAUGUGUAUGUUUAGGCCAUGUGAUAUAUGACAUUUAAAAAAUACACAAAUUUUGUAACAUGAAAACCCUCUUCUGUUUGGAAUUACUUCAGGCCACACAUACCCUAGGCUCCUCUUCCCAACACUCCUCCCCCACAAAAAAAAAAAAAAAAGAAAGAAAGAAAAAAAAGAAAAAGAACUUACAUUUGUUUUUUUCAUAAGUG